UAAACUACAAAUACAAUGGUUCA
rnacentral:snRNA from 1 species